UACGUAGGGAGCAAGCGUUGCUCGGAUUUACUGGGCGUAAAGGGCGCGUAGGCGGCAAAUUAAGUCAGCUGUGAAAUCUCCGAGCUUAACUCGGAACGGUCAGCUGAUACUGAUCUGCUAGAGUGCGGAAGGGGCAAUCGGAAUUCUUGGUGUAGCGGUGAAAUGCGUAGAUAUCAAGAGGAACACCUGAGGUGAAGACGGGUUGCUGGGCCGACACUGACGCUGAGUGCGCGAAAGCCAGGGGAGCAAACGGG
rnacentral:rRNA from 1 species